rnacentral:rRNA from 1 species
CCUACGGGGGGCUGCAGUGGGGAAUAUUGCACAAUGGGCGCAAGCCUGAUGCAGCCAUGCCGCGUGUGUGAAGAAGGCCUUCGGGUUGUAAAGCACUUUCAGCGGGGAGGAAGGCGGUGAGGUUAAUAACCUCAUCGAUUGACGUUACCCGCAGAAGAAGCACCGGCUAACUCCGUGCCAGCAGCCGCGGUAAUACGGAGGGUGCAAGCGUUAACCGGAAUUACUGGGCGUAAAGCGCACGCAGGCGGUCUGUCAAGUCGGAUGUGAAAUCCCCGGGCUCAACCUGGGAACUGCAUUCGAAACUGGCAGGCUAGAGUCUUGUAGAGGGGGGUAGAAUUCCAGGUGUAGCGGUGAAAUGCGUAGAGAUCUGGAGGAAUACCGGUGGCGAAGGCGGCCCCCUGGACAAAGACUGACGCUCAGGUGCGAAAGCGUGGGGAGCAAACAGGAUUAGAUACCCGAGUAGUC